rnacentral:rRNA from 1 species
UGGGGAAUAUUGGACAAUGGGCGCAAGCCUGAUCCAGCAAUGCCGCGUGAGUGAAGAAGGUCUUCGGAUUGUAAAGCUCUUUCGACGGGGACGAUGAUGACGGUACCCGUAGAAGAAGCCCCGGCUAACUUCGUGCCAGCAGCCGCGGUAAUACGAAGGGGGCUAGCGUUGCUCGGAAUGACUGGGCGUAAAGGGCGCGUAGGCGGUUCGUACAGUCAGACGUGAAAUUCCCGGGCUCAACCUGGGGGCUGCGUUUGAUACGUGCGGGCUUGAGUUCGGAAGAGGGUCGUGGAAUUCCCAGUGUAGAGGUGAAAUUCGUAGAUAUUGGGAAGAACACCGGUGGCGAAGGCGGCGACCUGGUCCGAUACUGACGCUGAGGCGCGAAAGCGUGGGGAGCAAACAGGAUUAGAUACCCCCGUAGUCC